rnacentral:antisense_RNA from 1 species
GUUUUUAAAUUUCCCUCCAUUGGAUGUGGAGGUUUCGACUGAUGUAAAGCAUG